rnacentral:rRNA from 1 species
UACGGGAGGCAGCAGUGGGGAAUUUUGGACAAUGGGCGAAAGCCUGAUCCAGCCAUGCCGCGUGCAGGAUGAAGGCCUUCGGGUUGUAAACUGCUUUUGUACGGAACGAAAAGCCUCUUUCUAAUAAAGAGGGGUCAUGACGGUACCGUAAGAAUAAGCACCGGCUAACUACGUGCCAGCAGCCGCGGUAAUACGUAGGGUGCAAGCGUUAAUCGGAAUUACUGGGCGUAAAGCGUGCGCAGGCGGUUUUUGUAAAGCAGAGGUGAAAUCCCCGGGCUCAACCUGGGAACUGCCUUUUGUGACUGCAAGGCUGGAGUGCGGCAGAGGGGGAUGGAAUUCCGGCGUGUAGCAGUGAAAUGCGUAGAUAUGCGGAGGAACACCGGAUGGGCGAAGGCAAUCCCCUGGGCCUGCACUGACGCUCAUGCACGAAAGCUGGGGAGCAAACGAGGAUUAGGAUACC